rnacentral:rRNA from 1 species
GACGAACGCUGGCGGCGUGCUUAACACAUGCAAGUCGAACGGAAAGGCCCUGCUUUUUUGGUGUGCUCGAGUGGCGAACGGGUGAGUAACACGUGAGUAACCUGCCCUUGACUUUGGGAUAACUUCAGGAAACUGGGGCUAAUACCGGAUAGGAGCUCCUGCCGCGUGGUGGGGGUGGGAAAGUUGCGGCGGUUGGGGAUGGACUCGCGGCUUAUCAGCUUGUUGGUUGGGUAGGGGCUUGCCAAGGCUUGGACUGGUAGCCGGCCUGAGAGGGUGACCGGCCACCUUGGGACUGAGGUACGGCCCAGAGUCGUACGGGAGGCAGCAGUGGCGAAUCUUGCACAAUGGGCGGAAGCGUGAUGAAGAAACGCCGCGUGCGGGAUGACGGCCUUCGGGUUGUAAACCGCUUUAGCCUGUGACGAAGCGUGAGUGACGGUAAUGGGUAAAGAAGCACCGGCUAACUACGUG